UGUCCUCAUACCCAGCCCACUUUUUAUUUUCCUCCAUUUUUCUCUGCCGAGGAGAAAUCACAGACCAGUGAUGGGGAGCAAAGAGCUGUUGCCCAAGCUACAAGACUCUGGAGGCAUGGUGAGAUAGCAGUUUGUCUGAAAAAGACCUGGGGUUUAUAGAGCACGCAAGCUCGCUAUGAGUCAGCAGUAUCACGUGAUAGCCGAUAAAACCACUGAGAUCUGGAGACGCCUGAAGAGAGAUUUAGCUUUCGGGAAUAAGGAGCUGCACUCCUGGGAUUGUACUCUCCCAACCCCUCAGCAAACUUGUCAUCCUUCAAGACUGCGUGAGCUUGGUACUUACACCUCAGCACAGUAGCCUCAGUACCCUCUGCCCCUCUGAUUGGAGGGCUGGAAGGCAGAGCUAACGACUCCUACCAAAGGCUCCAUUUAAAGGCACUCCAAGAGCAGUCUCUUUUCAGGGACCUUGAUUCAUACACAGGAAGGAGAGCCUCACCUGCUCAACCUGGAAAAAGGU